GAAUGGGGAAAACCCGGAGUGUGGGAUCGUGGAGGGCGGACGAUGCCAAGUCCAGCAGAGCUUGCGCUCGGGGCUAGAAGAGAGACUGAGUCUCCCUUCUCAGUUUCAUUAGGUAAUGGGCGACAUGGCUCCGUCUCCACAGCGGGGCUUUGCUGAGCUUAGCACGCAGUCUCCCGGCGGGGAGGAGGCGCGCAGUGCCGGGCGCCACUCCGUCUCCAGUACGCGUUAGGCCCGCGUUCCCAGGUGCCCGUCUGGCCGCUGGACUGUUGGCCUUUCCGGAGCGAGUUUUACUUUAGGAAGAAGCCCGGGAUCCCGGUAGUUUAGCCUGAAGAAACGUGGGGCAGAUGCUGGGCAGGGCGGGGAUACCGCGCCAACACCCGCUGCCCAGCGGUCGCCCUCCUAUGCAGCGGCGAAGGGACGCCCGCUGUGUCUCCGCCCUGCCCCCAGGCGCCCCAGUGGCUGGAGGUGGCAUUCUCCACUGGACGGGCGCGCCUCAAUCCGGGGGACUUCCACAGUGCUGUUCCCGAGGACUACGCGUCUCAACUCUUUGUCGGGUUCCCUCCCUCCCACUGCCAGUCUGUCUUCACCGCCGCGCAGACCUGGGGCCGCCCUUCACAGAGGAAGGGCUCCUUGACCUCAGCCACCGUGACCCCCUCCUUUGUGUCACAUUCUCAGAGAGUUGGAGGGAUUAUGCGUCAUCGUAAACAGGGGGACAGAGCGCCUUCCACCUGCGGCGCAUCCAUUAAGUUCCAGUUACCCUCGAGAGGAUUGUUUUUUCCACGAAACCCAGAUGCAAUGAGAGCCUGGCUUGUACCAUCUCUAAGCAUCGAGGCUUCCCCCUCGUCUGGGUGGUGGCCUUCGGGCAGUGGCUCCGGAAAGGCCAUCAAGGCUUCCCCGUCGUCUGGAUGGUGGCCUUCGGGCAGUGGACUGUGUCCAUAGCUGAAAACCAGACUUGACAGUUCUGGAUUCAGGCUGUUGUGGGAGCGGGAAGGUCAAACACCCAGAAGGAACUGAUGAAUGUGAAUUUCCCUCUAAGAACUGCUUUGCCUGGCCGGGCGCGGUGGCUCACGCUUGUAAUUCCAGCACUUUGGGAGGCUGAGGUGGGUGGAUGCCGAGGUGAGUGGAUCACGAGGUCAGGAGUUCGAGACCAGCCUGACCAACAUAGUGAAACCCCCGUCUCUACUAAAAAUACAAAAAUUAGCCGGG
rnacentral:lncRNA from 10 species